rnacentral:rRNA from 1 species
UACGUAGGGUGCAAGCGUUAAUCGGAAUUACUGGGCGUAAAGCGUGCGUAGGCGGUUGCGCAAGACAGGUGUGAAAUCCCAGGGCUUAACCUUGGAAUUGCACUUGUGACUGUGCGGCUGGAGUGCGGCAGAGGGGGAUGGAAUUCCGCGUGUAGCAGUGAAAUGCGUAGAUAUGCGGAGGAACACCAGUGGCGAAGGCGGCUCACUGGCCCGGUACUGACGCUGAGGUGCGAAAGCGUGGGGAGCAAACAGG